rnacentral:rRNA from 1 species
GGUCAAGUUAUUAAGGGUGCAGGGCGAAUGCCUUGGCACUAGGAGCCGAUGAAGGACGUGAUAAGCUGCGAUAAGCUUCGGGGAGUUGCACGUAAAUCCUUUGAUCCGAAGAUUUCCGAAUGAGGAAACUCACUUAGAGUAAUGUCUAAGUAUCGUAUGAUGAAUACAUAGUCAUGCGAGGGGAACCCGGAGAACUGAAACAUCUAAGUACCCGGAGGAAGAGAAAGAAAUUCGAUUCCGUAAGUAGCGGCGAGCGAACGCGGAACAGGCCAAACCAGUGAAGUUUUCUUCGCUGGGGUUGCGGACACACUAUAAACGAAAUCACCCACUAUAGAAGAAGAGAGUUGAAAAGCUCCGCCACAGAUGGUAACAGCCCAGUAUUUUAAAUAGCGAGACUUCGCGUGAUCCAGAGUACCACGGGACACGUGAAACCCUGUGGGAAGCAGAGGGACCAUCCUCCAAGCCUAAAUACUACCCAGUGACCGAUAGCGCAGGUACCGUGAGGGGAAAGGUGAAAAGAACCCCGAGGGGAGUGAAAGAGAACCUGAACCCUGCACUUACAAGCUGUAGGAGCACAUUAUUUGUGUGACUGCGUACUUUAGCAGAACGGGCCAACGAGUUACGUUGUGUAGCAAGGUUACACUUAAGGUGUGGAGCCGUAGCGAAAGCGAGUCUUAAAUGGGCGUCCAGUUACCUGACGUAGACCCGAAACCAGGCGACCUAUCCAUGAGUACAGGUUGAAGGUGAAAGUAAAAUUUCGUGGAGGACCGAACCCACGUACGUUGAAAAGUGCGGGGAUGACUUGUGGAUAGCGGUGAAAUUCCAAUCGAGCCUGAGAUAGCUGGUUCUCCCCGAAAUAGCUUUAGGCUAGCCUCAAGCUUAGAGAAACGGAGGUAGAGCACUGAAUGUCCUAGGGGUAUUGCACUUACCGAAGACUAUCAAACUCCGAAUGCCGUAUUCUUUUGCUUGGGAGUCAGACUAAGGGUGAUAAGAUUCAUAGUCAAGAGGGCAACAGCCCAGAUCGUCAGUUAAGGUCCCUAAAUGUAAGUUAUGGCAAAGGAUGUGGAAUUGCACAGACAACCAGGAUGUUGGCUUAGAAGCAGCCACUCAUUUAAAGAGUGCGUAAUAGCUCACUGGUCGAGUGAUUCUGCGCCGAAAAUUUCCGGGGCUAAAACUUACUACCGAAGCUACGGCAUCAUUAAGGAUGGGUAAGCGUGGUUUCUAUGUGGCUUGAAGCAUGACCGUAAGGACAUGUGGACUGCAUAGAAGUGAGAAUGUUGGCAUGAGUAGCGAGAUGUGGGUGAGAAUCCCACAGGUCGUAAAACCCAAGGUUUCCAGGGGGAAGGUUCGUCUCUGCCCUGGGUUAGUCAGGACCUAAGCCGAGGCCGAAAGGCGUAGGUGAUGGACAACAGAGCCAGAUAUGUACCACCAAUAACCGUUUGAGAAAUGGGAUGACACAGUAGGAUAAGCUGGGCACCGCACUGUUGGUUGCGCGGGCAAGUAUUGAGGCAGUUCCGAUAGGCAAAUCCGUCGGAAUAAUGCUGGGGUACGAUGCGGAGCGAAAUUUAGUAGCGAAGUAGCUGAUUUCACACUGUCGAGAAAAAGUCUCUAUCGAGGUGCCAAAGGUGCCUGUACCGCAAACUGACACAGGUGGGUGAGGAGAGUAUCCUAAGGCCAGCGAGAGAGAACUGUUGUUAAGGAAUCCUCGGCAAAUGACCCUCGUAACUUAGGAGAAGGGGUGCCUUCGAAAGAAGGCCGCAGAGAAUAGGCCCAAGCGACUGUUUACCAAAAACAUAGGUUUCUGCUAAGUCGCAAGACGAUGUAAAAGGGGGAGCUGACGCCUGCCCGGUGCUGGAAGGUUAAGGGGAUCUGUUAGAGCAAUCGAAGCAGUGAACUUUAAGCCCCAGUAAACGGCGGCCGUAACUAUAACGGUCCUGGCAGCAAGGAAAUCUUCCUGUCGGGUAAGUUCCGACCCGCACGAAAGGCGUAAUGAUUUGGGCACUGUCUCAACAACAGACUCGGUGAAAUUGUAAUGUACUGGCAGCAUGCCGGUUACCCAGACAGGACGGAAAGAUGGAGCUUACCAGCUGACAUUGAGUCUCGGGUGCUACAUGUACAGGAUAGGUGGGAGACUAUGAAGCAUGGACGUCAGUCUGUGGAGUCAUCCUUGGGAUACCACCUUGUAGUACUGGGAUUCUAACCAGAGGCCAUGAAUCUGGUCUGGGACACUGUCAGGUGGACAGUUUGACGGGGGCGGUCGCCUCCCAAAAGUAACGGAGGCGCUCAAAGGUUCUCUAGUACGGUCGGAAAUCGUACGAAGAGUGUAAAGGCAAAAGAGAGCUUGAUUGCAAGACAUACAGGUCGAGCAAGGACGAAAGUCGGACUUAGUGAUCCGGUGGUUCCGCAUGGAAGGGCCAUCGCUCAACGGAUAAAAGCUACCCUGGGGAUAACAGGCUGAUCUCCCCAAGAGUCCACAUCGACGGGGAGGUUUGGCACCUCGAUGUCGGCUCAUCACAUCCUGGGGCUGUAGUAGGUCCUGCUGGUUGGGCUGUUCGCCCAUUAAAGUGGUACGCGAGCUGGGUUCAGAACGUCGUGAGACAGUUCGGUCCCUAUCCGUCGCAGGCGUAGGAAAUUUGAGGAGACCUGUCCUUAGUACGAGAGGACUGGGAUGGACGUACCGCUGGUGUACCAGUUGUUCUGCCAAGGGCAUGGCUGGGUAGCUAAGUACGGAAAGGAUAAGCGCUGAAAGCAUCUAAGCGCGAAGCCCACUUCCGAUAAGAUUUCCCACCGCAAGGUUAAGAUCCCAGGAAGACUACCUGGUUGAUAGGUCAGAGGUAAGUGCAGUAAUGUAUUUAGCUUACUGAUACUAAUAGAUCGAGGACUUGACCAA